rnacentral:rRNA from 1 species
GACGAACGCUGGCGGCGUGCUUAACACAUGCAAGUCGAACGGAAAGGCCUCUUUCGGGGGGUACUCGAGUGGCGAACGGGUGAGUAACACGUGAGUAACCUGCCCUUGACUUUGGGAUAACUUCAGGAAACUGGGGCUAAUACCGGAUAGGAGCUCCUGCUGCAUGGUGGGGGUUGGAAAGUUUCGGCGGUUGGGGAUGGACUCGCGGCUUAUCAGCUUGUUGGUGGGGUAGUGGCUUACCAAGGCUUUGACGGGUAGCCGGCCUGAGAGGGUGACCGGCCACAGUGGGACUGAGAUACGGCCCAGACUCCUACGGGAGGCAGCAGUGGGGAAUAUUGCACAAUGGGUGGAAGCCUGAUGCAGCAACGCCGUGUGCGGGAUGACGGCCUUCGGGUUGCAAACCGCUUUCGCUCAUGACGAAGCUUUGUGUGACGGUAGUGGGUAAAGAAGCACCGGCUAACUACGUG